AGCUUCCAUCUUUCAGUUUCAUCCCCAAAGCUCCAGCAGCAAGCUUCAGGAAAAUACCUGUGAUAAUGGCUGAGGAUAGUGUCAGUUGCCCUUGAUGAGUGAUCGAGGGGGGCAAUUAGGACAUUCAAAAUUUUUUACAAAGGAUAAGGGAAACUUUUGGAAGGUGAGGGGGGGUCUUUGUUGACACCCUCCCUCCGCCCCUGCUUCACAUUUACCCCUCAAGGAAAAUUUUUAUCGUGGUUGGCACUGUCUCGUCUUUCCUUCAAGUUCAAGUAUGACUCAUGAAUCUCCAGCCACAACGAUCCACAACUCUGAAAAAAGACUUGCUCCAAAAUCAUUUCUUUCCUAGCUUUCAAGAUUGAGAAUGGCGCUUCUGGCUUCAGCUCCGCUCCAUCUGUGCUAUUUUGUCUUCACAACUCUACAUGCUACAGCUACAAGCCCAGAAGGACGGAUCAGAUUAGAUCAGAUCUUGUGACUUGUGGCUUGGAAAAAAAAAUCAUGGAGCAACAAGACGAGUGAAGAGAAUUGAAUUAAAUUGUAAGGUAUAUUCAUAUGUUUU